GAAAUUAUUAGGGAGCUGGGCGCAGUGGCUCACGCCUAUAAUCCCAGUGGCUUGGGAGGCUGAGACAGGAGGCUUGAGAGUUCAAAGCCAAUCUCAGCAAGAGCAAGACACUGAACAACUCAGUGAGACCCUGUCUCUAAAUAAAACCAAAACAGGGCUGGGGAUGUGACUCAGUGGUUGAGUGCCCCUGAGUUCAGUCCCUGGAACCAAAAAAAAGAAAAAAAGAAAAAAAGAAAAAAGAAAGAAAUCAUUAGGAAUUAGAAAGAACAAAUACAUUUCUAGGUUUUAAAGCAUUUCUAGAGUAAUCACUGAACUAUCUUUUAACCUUUUUCUCCUCUUUCCUAUGAACAUAAAUUUAGGGUCCAUACAUCUCUUCCAAGGUGAAUUAUAGUUUAUAAGUCUCAUAGAAAAUUUGCCUCAUUAUUGAAUAGUCAUGUCCUGAUUUUACCCCAAAAUAGGAAUACAUCCUUUAUUAAACUACGGCCUAGAAUUAAACUUAAAGCUUCAGUUUCCUCAUUCAUAAAAUGAGGCUUUUUACCUUUUAGGCUUUUGUCAGAAUGAAAAUGACAGUAUCUAGCAUAUUAUUUUUUACAUUGUGAAUAUAUGAGUUUCCUUGCUCACUUCUUCUCAUUGAAGAUAUUAAAAUAUCACUUUUGCUGAGAAAAACCUCAAGGCCCCUAGAUACUUUCCUCUGCUACUUUCUCUUAUGACACACACUCCUACCCCCCAACCUCCUUCCUCUCAAUGCAGCUUUCUUUCCUGUCAGCUCCUGUCAGAUGGCUUCUUUAUCCCCCCUGUGGCCCUUUGGUCUAAAAGGAAGAACUGGCUAUAGAGAUAGAUUAAAAUUUGGUACUACAGGAUGAAGCAGCAUUAUCUCUCUGGUCUUUGUGAAAACAAUUGCUCCCACAGCUCCAGCUGAUCUUCUCCC
rnacentral:lncRNA from 1 species